UAGGUCUGUCGCAACGGCGAGCC
rnacentral:miRNA from 1 species